AACCCAGUGCAAUUCGUUGCACUAUCGUUAACUGAAUACAUAGGUUAACGAGGCGAACCGGGGGAACUGAAACAUCUAAGUACCCCGAGGAAAAGAAAUCAACCGAGAUUCCCCCAGUAGCGGCGAGCGAACGGGGAGCAGCCCAGAGUCUGAAUCAGCUUGUGUGUUAGUGGAACGGUCUGGAAAGUCCGACGGUACAGGGUGAUAGUCCCGUACACCAAAAUGCACAGGUUGUGAACUCGAAGAGUAGGGCGGGACACGUGGUAUCCUGUCUGAAUAUGGGGGGACCAUCCUCCAAGGCUAAAUACUCCUGACUGACCGAUAGUGAACCAGUACC
rnacentral:rRNA from 1 species